UACGAAGGGGGCUAGCGUUGCUCGGAAUCACUGGGCGUAAAGGGUGCGUAGGCGGGUCUUUAAGUCAGGGGUGAAAUCCUGGAGCUCAACUCCGGAACUGCCUUUGAUACUGGCGAUCUUGAGUUCGGGAGAGGUGAGUGGAACUGCGAGUGUAGAGGUGAAAUUCGUAGAUAUUCGCAAGAACACCAGUGGCGAAGGCGGCUCACUGGCCCGAUACUGACGCUGAGGUGCGAAAGCGUGGGGAGCAAACAGG
rnacentral:rRNA from 1 species